CAAUAUCACCACAAUCAAUAUCAACUCAUCUGAAGCAUAUAUGGAAUAAUCAAGUCAACAUAUAUGCUACUCAUGAAUAUGCUCAAUAGGUCAUAGUACUGAAUCAUAUAAAUAAGGUGUCAAUAGGCUGAAUCAUCAACAAGACAGCUAUCGGAAGGUGGGUUUUACGCCCCAGGCGAACCAGCAACAACUCCCUACUGCCAUAUGCAUACAUCGAAUAUGACACCACACCAAUAUGUAAAUCACCACUAGACAGCUGUCGGGAGGUGGGUUUUACGCCCCAGGCGAACCAGCAACAACUCCCUACUGUCACAUGCAUAUGCAGGAUAAGACACCAUACUAAUAAUGUAAAUGCUAGACAGCUGUCGGAAGGUGGGUUUUACGCCCCAGGCGAACCAGCAACAACUCCCCACUGUCACAUGCAUAUGCAGGAUAAGACACCACAUUGAUCAUAUAAAUGCAGGCCAGUAUCCAGAACAGAAAUCCAUCUCACAUCUACAUACUAAACGGCACCUCGCGGGAAUUCUACAUCCGCGGAAAGCCAUACUGCACCUCGCGGGGUCUUACUA
rnacentral:lncRNA from 1 species